rnacentral:rRNA from 1 species
AGACCUCUAAUCGAAAAGACUACCCGCUGAGUUUAA